rnacentral:rRNA from 1 species
AUGCACGCUGGCGGCGUGCUUCACACAUGCAAGUCGCACGGAAAGGCUCCUGCUUGCAGGGGUACUCGAGUGGCGAACGGGUGAGUAACACGUGGGUGAUCUGCCCUGCACUUCGGGAUAAGCCUGGGAAACUGGGUCUAAUACCGGAUAGGACCACAUUUUGGAUGGUGUGGUGGAAAGUUUUUCGGUGUGGGAUGAGCUCGCGGCCUAUCAGCUUGUUGGUGGGGUAAUGGCCUACCAAGGCGUCGACGGGUAGCCGGCCUGAGAGGGUGUACGGCCACAUUGGGACUGAGAUACGGCCCAGACUCCUACGGGAGGCAGCAGUGGGGAAUAUUGCACAAUGGGCGCAAGCCUGAUGCAGCGACGCCGCGUGGGGGAUGACGGCCUUCGGGUUGUAAACUCCUUUCGCUAGGGACGAAGCGUUUUUGUGACGGUACCUGGAGAAGAAGCACCGGCUAACUACGUG